CUAAUAAGCCUUUCAGAUUUGAGGCCAGUUGGUCUCUCGAUGAAGACUGUCAUAAGAUUGUGGAGGAGGUAUGGAAUAAGCCUAGGUUGGCUAGCAACAAACAAUCUUACUACAGAAGGACUGAAGCAUUGCAAGGAAAAGCUAAUACAAUGGAGCAGAAGGAAGAUGGGGAUCUCUAAAAGAGAGAUUAAUGCCAAGUUGUCUCACCUAGAUGCAUUGCAAACUAGAAACAUAGGCCUCUUGACUGAGAACAUUAAGCAAUUGGAAAGAGAGUUGGAUGGACUUUUGGAAGCAGAGAAUCUGAAAUGGCAGCAAAGAACUAAACAAAUGUGGUUCAAAGAAGGGGAUAGGAACACAAAAUUCUUUCACCAAUGUGAAAAUCAAAGUUAAAACACCAACACUAUCAAAAGACUGCUGGAUGAUCAGAACCAGGAGGUGGAUUCGAGGGAAGGCAUUAGCUCUCUCUUCCAAACAUACUUCAAGCAGCUUUUACAUGCUCUCAGCCAUCAAACAUUGAGGCCUGUCUUGUUGAUUUGGCUCCUCGUGUUACUGGUGAAAUGAAUUCUAUGCUGACCAAACCUUAUACAUAUAAGGAGGUGGAGAAGGCCCUUUUUCAGAUGAAAGGCUUAAGCUCACCUGGACCAGAUGGUUACCCUGCUGCCUUCUACCAAACACACUGGUCAACAGUUGGAUCACAAGUUUGCAAAUUUGUUUUGUUUGUGCUUAAUUCCAAGGGUGACCUUGCUGAAAUUAAUAAUACUCUUAUUUCCCUCAUUCCAAAAAAAAAAUCCCCCUCAAAAGUGUCUGAAUUUAGGCCUAUAUCCCUUUGUAAUGUGUACAAAUUGUAUGUAUAUUCUGUUUUUCAUUUCAUUCAAACAACAUAGCUUCUCACAGUUUUA